GUAGUCCGCACGGUAAACGAUGGAUGCCCGCUGUUCCGGCUAUAUGUUGGAGUGGCCAAGCGAAAGCGUUAAGCAUCCCACCUGGGGAGUACGCCGGCAACGGUGAAACUCAAAGGAAUUGACGGGGGCCCGCACAAGCGGAGGAACAUGUGGUUUAAUUCGAUGAUACGCGAGGAACCUUACCCGGGCUUGAACUGCCAGCGGACGAUUCAGAGAUGAUGAGGUCCUUCGGGACGCUGGUGGAGGUGCUGCAUGGUUGUCGUCAGCUCGUGCCGUGAGGUGUCGGCUUAAGUGCCAUAACGAGCGCAACCCCUGUCUUCAGUUGCCAUCAGGUAGUGCUGGGCACUCUG
rnacentral:rRNA from 1 species